ACACCGGCAGCUCUAGUGGUAGCUGUUUUUAUUGGGCCUAAAGCGUUCGUAGCCGGUUUGGUAAGUCACUGGUGAAAUCCUGUAGCUUAACUAUGGGAAUUGCUGGUGAUACUGUUGAACUUGAGGUCGGGAGAGGUUAGCGGUACUCCCAGGGUAGAGGUGAAAUUCUGUAAUCCUGGGAGGACCACCUGUGGCGUAGGCGGCUAACUGGAACGAACCUGACGGUGAGGGUCGAAAGCUAGGGGCGCGAACCGAAUUAGAUACCCGGGUAGUCCGAGCCGGAAACGAUGCGGAAUUGGUGGUGGGAUGGCUUUGAGCCGCUCCGAUGCCGAAGGGAAGCUGUUAAGUCCGCCGCCUGGGAAGUACGGUCGCAAGACUGAAACUUAAAUGAAUUGGCGGGG
rnacentral:rRNA from 1 species